rnacentral:rRNA from 1 species
UCCUACGGGACGCAGCAGUGAGGAAUAUUGGUCAAUGGGCGGUAGCCUGAACCAGCCAAGUAGCGUGAAGGAUGAAGGUUCUAUGGAUUGUAAACUUCUUUUAUAAAGGAAUAAAGUGAGGAACGUGUUCCUUUUUGUAUGUACCAUAUGAAUAAGCAUCGGCUAACUCCGUGCCAGCAGCCGCGGUAAUACGGAGGAUGCGAGCGUUAUCCGGAUUUAUUGGGUUUAAAGGGUGCGUAGGUGGUUAAUUAAGUCAGCGGUGAAAGUUUGUGGCUCAACCAUAAGAUUGCCGUUGAAACUGGUUG